rnacentral:lncRNA from 1 species
AUGUGUGCAACAAGAGGAGCUUGGAUCGCAGCGGUUAGUGUUGGAGCUGUUGAGGCUUUGAAAGAUCAAGGCUUCUGCAGAUGGAGUUACACCAUGAGGUCUUUGAUCCAGCAUGCCAAGAACAAUAUGAGAUCGUUCUUACAAGCCAAGGAGCUCUCUUCUUCUUCUUCUGCUAUGGUUUUGAACAAAAUGAAUUCUGAACAGAAGAACCAAGCUGAGGAUUCUCUAAGAAAAGUCAUGUACUUGAGCUGUUGGGGUCCUUAUUGA